rnacentral:rRNA from 1 species
GAUGAACGCUAGCGGCAGGCCUAACACAUGCAAGUCGAACGGUAACAGCAGAGCUUGCUCUGGCUGACGAGUGGCGCACGGGUGCGUAACGCGUAUACAAUCUGCCUAUUACUGGGGUAUAGCCCGAAGAAAUUUGGAUUAACCCCCCAUAGUAUUGAGAUAAGGCAUCUUAUUUCAAUUAAAACCACGGUGGUAAUAGAUGAGUAUGCGUCCUAUUAGUUUGUUGGUAAGGUAACGGCUUACCAAGACUUCGAUAGGUAGGGGUCCUGAGAGGGAGAUCCCCCACACUGGUACUGAGACACGGACCAG